rnacentral:rRNA from 3 species
ACGGAAGGCAGCAGUGGGGAAUAUUGCACAAUGGGGGAAACCCUGAUGCAGCGACGCCGCGUGAGUGAAGAAGUAUUUCGGUAUGUAAAGCUCUAUCAGCAGGAAAGAAAAUGACGGUACCUGACUGAGAAGCCCCGGCUAACUACGUGCCAGCAGCCGCGGUAAUACGUAGGGGGCAAGCGUUAUCCGGAUUUACUGGGUGUAAAGGGAGCGUAGACGGCUUUGCAAGUCUGAAGUGAAAGCCCGGGGCUCAACCCCGGAACUGCUUUGGAAACUGUAGAGCUAGAGUGCAGGAGAGGUAAGUGGAAUUCCUAGUGUAGCGGUGAAAUGCGUAGAUAUUAGGAGGAACACCAGUGGCGAAGGCGGCUUACUGGACUGUAACUGACGUUGAGGCUCGAAGGCGUGGGGAGCAAACAGGAUUAGAUACCCUGGUA